UCCUACGGGGGGCAGCAGGGAAUCUUCCACAAUGGGCGAAAGCCUGAUGGAGCAACGCCGCGUGGGUGAAGAAGGUCUUCGGAUCGUAAAACCCUGUUGUUAGAGAAGAAAGUGCGUGAGAGUAACUGUUCACGUUUCGACGGUAUCUAACCAGAAAGCCACGGCUAACUACGUGCCAGCAGCCGCGGUAAUACGUAGGUGGCAAGCGUUAUCCGGAUUUAUUGGGCGUAAAGGGAACGCAGGCGGUCUUUUAAGUCUGAUGUGAAAGCCUUCGGCUUAACCGGAGUCGUGCAUUGGAAACUGGG
rnacentral:rRNA from 1 species